rnacentral:lncRNA from 1 species
GGGGGUGUGCGGAUUUAAUAGGUAUAAUAGAUUUAGUAGGUUUCUAGUGAAUCUAUUUUUAUUAGUGCGUGGAUAUUUUUUAAAUUUUGUUUCAAUAUCUUUUAAUUUCUGAUUAAUACCUUUUAAUAACUUACUUUUUUCGUGAGAUAUAUUCAUUAAUUAUUUUAUCCUGUAGUAAUUGCUGAGUUACAAAUUCUUGUAUAAUAAUUUAUCCUAUCUGUGCUAUAAUAUAUAUCUAAUUCUAGAUUUUCAAUGUUAUUUAUUAUCUUGUGUUGUUCUUCUCGUAGUGAGUUUUUUAAACU